CAAAACAAAAAAAUACGUUUAAAGUUCCUGGACUUAACAAUUUUAAACCUACCAUCACCAAACAUAACCAAUUUAAAAACAAAAAUCACUUUUAAAGUCUCUACACUUAAUCAUUUUAAAUCUACCAAGUCACAACACCUAACCACUUUUAAAACAAAAAUUCACAAUUAAAGUCCUUAAACUUAACCAUUUUCAACCUACCAUUCAC
rnacentral:lncRNA from 1 species